GACGAAGGGGGCUAGCGUUGUUCGGAAUUACUGGGCGUAAAGCGUGUGUAGGUGGUUGUCAUAGUCAGGUGUGAAAGCCUUGAGCUCAACUCAAGAAAUGCACUUGAUACUGGGCAACUAGAGGACCGGAGAGGAUAGUGGAAUUCCCAGUGUAGUGGUGAAAUACGUAGAGAUUGGGAAGGACACCAGUGGCGAAGGCGGCUAUCUGGACGGUUUCUGACACUAAGACACGAAAGCGUGGGGAGCAAACAGG
rnacentral:rRNA from 1 species